rnacentral:rRNA from 1 species
UACGGAGGGGCCAGCGUUGUUCGGAAUUAUUGGGCGUAAAGCGUCUGCAGGUGGUUUCCUAAGUCCACUGUUAAACCUUGAGGCUCAACCUCAAAUCUGCAUUGGAAACUAGGAGACUUGAGUAUAGUAGGGUAGAGGGAAUUUCCAGUGGAGCGGUGAAAUGCGUAGAUAUUGGAAAGAACACCGAUGGCGAAGGCACUCUACUGGGCUAUUACUGACACUCAGAGACGAAAGACUAGGGGAGCAAAUGGG